rnacentral:sRNA from 1 species
UAAGAGGGCCCAACCUCCAUUCGGGAGCGU